ensembl:lncRNA
GCCAGAUUGCUUUUCCCACAGGUGCCAGGGCAGCAGAAUGCCGAAUGAACAGUGCUCCUGUCUAAUUUUACUUCCCACCUAGGCAGAUAGGAUAUGACAUUCACAUCUAUAGAGUGAAGAUGAAUGCUUGGAGUCAGCAUUUUUGGGAUUUUUUUAUUUAUUUUUUUCACAGGGCUCAAUGAUAAGUGUGAGGCUGGUUCGGGCUUGUUGACAGAACCGCCACUUGCUUAGAUGGGCCAAUGCUGGAUUUACUCUAUGUUGCUGUCAUGCCACCUCUUUGCCCUCUACAAAGGUUUGCUGUUAUUGGGUAAUGAUGUGUAGGGUUAGAGGUGACAGGCGUCAGGCGUCAGGCUAAUUAGUGGCAAUGGAUCCUCUGCAGUGGAUGGGUGCCGUUAAUGAGAGCCCAAACAGCUGACAAAAACAUCACAGUAUUCCACUGAUCAAUCUGAAGAAAACAAGACACCAGAUGCUCUGUAAAUAUCGAAAAUUUAACGAUGGACACACAUUGAGAUGCAGCUCAGCUGAUGUUCACAUUAUUCCACGUAUAUCUUCAAAUUUGAACAUGACCAAAUGGUGGUUAUAUUUCCAAGGCAGAAGAAGAGAGAAUCUCCUUUGUGAGAGAAGCCUCUUGUGUCACUGUGUGCUGAGGACUGUGAUAUCUCAGCAGGCCAAACACCACGUUCCUCUUCAGGAAGUAUUGAGCCCCAGUUGAUGCUCCUGGCCCCCAGGUGAACUCUGUAAAUGCCCGGUCCCUCUUUUCUUCUCUUCUAUACCUCUCUGUUCGUGUCCUUCCUCCCUUGUGUACAGACUACCUUAAAAAAAAAAAAACAACUCCAGCUAGCUUCAAAGUGUCCUUUUUGUCUGUUGAAUGAUGCUUGUUGUUUGUAGUUUUAAAUGUCUUGUCAUUUACGAUAAAAUGCAAAUGUACUGAAGUGCCAGACUAGACAUGCAUGUGUGGGUGAUUUCUUAUGCAAUAUGUCCAUCUGAGACAGUCUUGAUUUAUUAAUGUUUUGAUAUCUGGAUGAUUUUUUGAUACAUGAAGGUACUGUAUGUAUACAUAUUUUAAUUUAUAAAUUAAAAACUGGAGACAAACAACAAUAAUUGAACACUACAAUUAGCCAUAAAUGUCAAGAAUAUAGUCAAUACUACUUGAUGAUGGGCACUAGUUAUUAUAUUAUUGUCAUUUUUUCCUCAACCCUAUGUUGUUUUAACCCCUUUGUUUUUGUCCUGUAAAACACAAAUGGAGUUUUAGGCAGGAUAUCAGAGCUCCUGAUUUCCAUGCAGGGAAUCCAACAUUUGAUCUGUUAAGCUUCAAAAGGACAAAAAACAUCCAUAAAAGUGUGUGUUUUUUGAAAGUCUGACUCUUGACACAAUUUAUUGAGUUUUAAAUGCAUAUUUGUGCAGUAACAGAAUGUAUUAGUGAUGCAGUAGCAAUAUGAAUUUUGGAAUAGAUUACACAUCUGUCAGGAGAGAUAAUGUAUGUUCAGCCUGUUUUCUUAGCAGACCGUUUUAAUUCUACAACAAAUUAUUGGUCUCAUAUCCAUGUUUAGCUGUCACAUUCAUCUCGCAAGAAUUUUUACCAGACAUUUUGAUUGUCUUCAAAUUCAGUACAUCAUUCAGUCUUACUCCUUUUAUUUCAUUUAUUUAUUUUUUUAAGGAAGAGGAGUGCAGACAGGAAAGCAGAGGGGAUAGAAAGGAGAAUGUGUUCUGGGCAUGACUCAGGUUGAAUUAAAACGUUUUGUUUAACAAGUAAUGAAUUCUUGCUGAUAUGCCGUUGACAUUAUAGACUGUUAGCUUGUUAUGUUUGUGAUGGAGCAGAAGCGCAUAGAUAGAGAACACAGAUGACCCUCAUACCAACACAGAACAUUUCCCAACAUUAGGGCAUGGUUCUUGCUUGGCUGUUUUAACCUUGUAGUUUUAUUUUUUAUAACAACAACAACAACAAAAAAAUGUUCCCAGAACAUGCUUGGUGUGUCAUUGCAGAUGGUGUGGUGUAUUUACAGUAUGUCUGUGUUUUUUUUUUCCUAUAGCCCAUUGAAAGUCCUGAACGUUUAACUUAUGUUUAAGUAUCUUAAGAGCCUGAUGCAGAAAAUCCCUUGUUAAGACAAGCUUUUCUUCCAGGGGUCUUAAUAGAGGAUUAGAGAGGAAUCCUCUGGCCAGAGCAGUCAUCUGAAUUUAAUCCACCUUGCAAGAUUGCCUUUAAUUGUCAUAACCUGACAGAACGGAACAACAGAGACUGAUGCAAAGCUCUAAAUUAGCCAUAGAGAAUUAAAAUGUGUCAAGCUGGUGUAUCUGGGGCUACAAGUAUCUGCAUCUGAUAAAAUCCUUACAUAUAAAUGUUGAUAAUUAAAAACAUGGACAAUUGAACAAAUUGACCUAAUUGGUCUGAUAAAGCUUUGCAGGCUCCUACAUGUUGUGAAUACAUUGGAGAUUGUCAUGAAAUAAGCAAAUAAAUGCUGAGGAAAACAUUAUAUGUUUUCAUUCAUUUUAAUCCCUUUGUGUUUUGUUCCUCAGUGUCCUCUCUUGGCUGCUGAAGAAUUUUAUUGGAAUAUUUUAGCAUGAGCCUGGCUUCCGAAGGACUCUCCUUUAUUUGAGCCCAGCAUGUGCCAGAUAUUUAACCCUUUAACCUUUUUCUGAUUGGAGAGGAAUGCUGGCCUAUCAUAAAAUAAAAUAAAAUAGGUACUAAAUGAAAUGGUCAAAAUGACUAUAUUUAAUAGGUGGUUGGACAGCCAUGAUAAUGCACUCUAAUGUGAUGAAUAAAUGCCAUUUUAGAUGGAGUGGAUAGAAAGAGAGUGAGAUAGAGAGCUUUUUCAAGUCAAAUUACAUGAGAGGUCUGGUGUUGUUUUAAAAGCUCUUGACAGUCUAGUAAUCACAUCAUUUACUAGUGUGUUAUGUUUGUACACUUCUUGAAAAUUAAUGAUAAAUAAUUUUUUAUUUUUUUAAACUAGCAAAAUGCAUCCUUAAUUCUUCAGCGGCCAUAUGAUUUUGCCUACAUUUUAAUGAUGUAUAUGGCUGUAUGAGGACUUUGUUGUGUGCUUCUAGUUUAAUGUGCUUCAAGCCAGCAGCUUCACUUUGAACUGGUGUAAUAAUGUCAUGCUUCAUCUAAUGAGUCAUUUUAUCCUGGCAUAUUCUAAUACCACACUGUCACUUCUAAUGAGUUUCAUAAACAUUUGCUUUGAAAUUUAAUUGAAUAAACCUCUCAUUCUGAAAAUGUGAUAUAAUGCCAAACUCAUCUCAACCCUUUGAAGCACCAUAAGCAUGUGCAAACCUCUAUAUCUGUAUAUUUCUACAUACCUGUAUACUUCAUUUGAACCUUUGCUCAAUUAUUUUUGUCUCUACCAGAGAGCUGUAAAAUCAAGUGUUUAUUUUUUUCCCUGUAACCAGAUAAAAAGGGAGAGUGACAGUACUGAGGUCCCCUCUGGAUAUAAAUGUGCACCAUUUGUGAUGAGACUGACAUGAACGGUCUGUUUAACUGUGUCAGAAUUGGACAUUUUUCAUGUUUAAAAAUUAUGCCUUGCAGUGUUUAGCAUACUCUGAUGAGCACAGUUUUUCAUACAAAAAAUAUUGCAUGUAAAAAAAUAAAAUAAAAUACUCCAGUGAUUAAAGAACAUCAUUAGCCAAGAUGGUACAUUUUCCAAAUUAAUUUGGAAGUCCUGAUUGUCCAUGAACCCCAUAAGAACUUGUCACACAGUUUUAUGAAAUAUGCCACCAGGCUUUUUCCUAGUGCCACUUUCUUUUUAUAGACUUUUUUUCUUUGAAGACAAACUAAGGUUAAAUAAUUUCUUGACAGGGAAUGGAUUGACAUAAAAUUGGACAGACAUUUUUGCAUGACCUGUCCAGGCUGUAAUCAUUGCAAGCAAUCAAUUCAUUGGGAACCAAGUUAAACCGGAACUCAAUUUGGUUUGUAGCCUGUGAGAUAAAUCUGAUUCUUCUUAAAGGACUUUCUCAUGGACUUUGCAUAGAUUCUUGAGAUAAAGGUCUAAGAUAUAUUAACUGGAGAGUGUUUAAAAAAUCAUUGUCGAAGGCAGAGGAAGGUACUGAUUUCAAGGGUGUCCAAUGAUCCAUGCAAGACUUUGCACCCAGUCAUUUACUCAUUUCAACAGGUAUAGAUGACAGAAACAGUCUCCCAUCUGCUCAUUUUAGACUUUGCUGGCAGUGCACUCAGUGAAAUGACUAUCAUUAGCUUAAAUAAAUAAAUAAAUUACCACAUAUAUAAACCCUUAAAAUAUAGUUAGUGAAACCGAAAAGGCAAUUUUACUUUGAUAAUUUUAGUAUUAUAUUUUUUUUUUAGAAGAAACAAUUGUUUUUGUGUUGUUGUUGUUGUUGUUGUUGUUGUUUUAUAUGAAUUUUUACCUAAAUUCAUUACUUGAGACUUAUGUGCCCUCUAGAAGCUUGCAUGCUGCAAGUGAACGUUGCUUUAUUGUGCCAUCCCAAAGAGGCACAAAAUCACUUUCACAGACUUCAAGUAUCGUCUAAAAACGCAUCUCUUCCAUCUUUAUUUGACCCUCUAACUCUAGCACUCUCUAUUCUAAUUCUAUUCUUUUAAAAAAAACUUAUCCCUUUUAGACUUGCACUCUAUUCAUUUACUGCUUGUUACUAUUUGUUUUCUUUUCGCUAACUUUUCUAAUCUUUUUGUAUUCUAUUUGUUCUCUUUUUAUUUAUUAUACAGUUAGCAAAAGCAAAAAAGGCCUCUAACACUAGCUUGCUCUAUUCUUUUUCUAUUAUAUCGGUUUUCUUUUUAUUUGACUUGUUAUACAGUAGCACUUGCAUAUCAUUGCUCUUUUGUUGAUUUUGAUUUGCUUCCAUUGUCCUUAUUUGUACAUAAGUCGCUUUGGAUAAAAGUGUCUGCUAAAUGACUAAAUGUAAAUGAAACAAAUGGCUCAUACUGAGACAGAGCAAAAUAUUAGGCUGUCUAUUUUUUGUUCUAUUACUGUUCUAAUAUUGUUACUCCAGUCCAGUGGCGGCUCGUGGGUUUUAAAAUAGAAGAGGCACACUAAUUGUAUUGGUCUGGGAUCCCUGCCGAUUAUUAUUAUUAGUAUUAUUGUUAUUAUUUGCUUAACCACUUUAAAAUGGCUUUUUUAAAAUGGCUUCAUUUAGUCAAAAAAACGUAAAGAAAACGACACACAUACAACAAAAUAAUAUAAUUUCACUUACCUGGCCUAUCACUUGAAGCAAACAUCCAUCCCUUCUUAAAAGUCUGUGUUAAAAGAGAGCUGCCCAUUGUGCAAUUUCACUACUCAUCAUAAGUACUUGAAUCAUCAUCAGUGCAGUGCGAGACAUUCAAACUAAUAUCACGUAAUUUACAUCUCUAUGAUGAGUGGUUGAUAUCAGAAGGGAGGCUAGCCUCCUCUACGAGGUUUCUUUUCUCAACACUCCUCAGCGCUGAAAGUGAACACACGAUGCUGAUUGGCUAAUUUUUUUUUACCAACUGAGGCACGAGAGCUCAAAUCUCCCCCGGCCUCCCCUUACCCUUCUCUAUCACCUAGUGGUUGUAAUUACAUCAGCAGAUUCGGCACAUUCGCGAUAGAAAAGGAGCACUUUCCAACUUCAGUAAAAUGUUAUGGUAUUACAGCUGUGAAAUUACAAACAAAAAAAUACACAUUCUGAGACAUGAACUGAAAUGAAUUGUGAAUUUUAUUAACAUUAAAUAGUCCUUCUCCCAUUUUCACCUCAGAAUUGCCUCCCCUGACGAGCCGCCACAGCUCCAGUCCUAUUGUUGUUACCUGGUUCUUUCUUAUCACUGCUGCUCUAAAAAUAUCAAAAGCUCAAAAAGAAAAAGUAGAAGCAAGUGCAGCCAAAUGUUUUUUGCUGAUAUGGUUAAAAAGAAACCCACUUUUUUAAGCUAAGAAUACGCCAGUGUGUGUUUAGACCCUAUUCUACAGAUGUGGAAGGCGUGCAGGAGAAGCGAGGGUGAGAGAGGACUGGUACAGAGUGAAACAGUGCACUUCUCUUGGCAGAAUCAUAGGCUGGCUCUCAUUAAAUAGGGACCUUGGGUACGUAACCAUGGAGAAGAUGGGACUGGGGCUGACCGGUCUCAGCUCUUGGGACCGUUCAUGAAGCGCCAUGCUGGAGACAGCUGGUUACCCAGGCAACGCAGAGACCCAUUCCACUCAGUGUAUAGAAUCAAAGAGAAAAACAGAUAUUAAAGUGUCAGCAUGUUUUUUGGGACGAGGCCCAUCUGCAUCUGCACUGUGAUUGUUUUUAGGGAUGCACAGUAUAUUGGUAUCAUAUUGGUUACUGGCCCAUAUUACCUUUUUUUUUUCUUGUAAAUUUAUCUGUAGUAAUUUAUAUUGGAUAUGUUUUUGGACAUGCCCAUGCCAUUCAUUUUUAAUAAUUAGGUUACCUUCGACACUAUCAAUUUCUCAUGUAAAGUUAAUCUUUAAAAACAAAUAAUUUAAUAACACUGAAAUGUUUGACAAAUCAAAAUAAACAUCCAUUUUUUUAUCAUUAUGUGAUGAAUAAAUGAACUUGCAUCAAUUUAAACCAACUGUUUUAAGUUUCAUUUUUAAUUUAUUCAGACAGAAAAGUUUAAUAUUCAUCAGAUAGCAGCCAUAAUAUGAAAAUAAUUAUUUAUAUUUCAUUAAUAAUUAAAGUAGUUAUCACUAUCUUUAACCACAUUAGACUAAACCACAUGGUUUAGCUGGAGAGUCGAUUUU